UUGUGAUUGUGGUGGUGUUGGGUGGGGGGGGUACAUUGUGGGUAAGAGGGCGGAAUUAAAUUGCCCACAGAAGUCAUCUCUUCCUCUCAUAUUUUCACUCUCUGCCUCUUUUGGAGCCAGGAAGACAGGCAGCCAGCAGCAGCAGCAGCACAAGGGCAUGUGUGUGGCAGGGGAUGUUGCUGGUUCCGCCUUCAGCAGCAGUCGAGGCACACCAUUGUCCAAUCGCCUCAUCAACCUCCCCAUAAAAGCCUGGUCACCUAUCCACUACGUUGCCAGAUAAUUCCAUCUCGUUUGAUCUUCCGGUUUGCCUCACUGCUGCUGCUGCUUCCGCGUCUCCAGUGACUGAGAUUUCCCAUGUGCUCGGUCCUCGUGUUUUCAUUCUCUACUAGCCACAAGCCGACCAGCUCCCUGCCCUCCAGUUAGUGUUUUUUCCUAGUUGUUGGAAAAAAAACUUUGUUUAAUUUUUUACUUACCUGUGCCAGUCUCCUUUUUGGGUUCCAACCUAAAAUAAAAACUAGCAUGUGUCCUCCGGUGCUCCUAA